rnacentral:rRNA from 1 species
UACGUAGGGUGCGAGCGUUAAUCGGAAUUACUGGGCGUAAAGCGUGCGCAGGCGGCGCGUUAAGACAGGUGUGAAAGCCCCGAGCUUAACUUGGGAAUUGCGCUUGUGACUGGCGUGCUGGAGUGUGGCAGAGGGAGGUGGAAUUCCACGUGUAGCAGUGAAAUGCGUAGAUAUCAGGAGGAACACCUGUGGUGUAGACAGCUUACUGGACCACUUCUGACGCUGAGACACGAAAGCGUGGGUAGCAAACAGG